AAAUGCAGGGUGAUUUGGCUGUGGUAUCUGUCACCCCAUUGAUCACCAGGGUCAAUCGGCUGAUCUGGCUGGCUAGGCAGGUGUCCCCUUCCUCCCUCACGACUCCGCGUGUGUCCUUCCCAAAACUGUGCACUCAGUCAGAGAAUGACCCUCCCCAGUAGAGGAGGACUGUUCUUUGGUCAAGGGUAUACGAGUAGCUGCCCUCCACGGCUAGAAUCUCCAAACAAGCUCUCAAGCUGUGAGUUUUGUGUGACGCCACACAGGAUGGCUUUGAGGCUUUAAUGAAAUGGAGAACGUGAAAACGGUACUUU
ensembl:misc_RNA 7SK 7SK RNA